rnacentral:tRNA from 2 species
AAAAAUUUAGUUAAAUAAUAACAUUAGUUUGUCAAACUAAAAUUACUUAAUAAGUAAUUUUUU